rnacentral:rRNA from 1 species
GACGAACGCUGGCGGCGUGCUUAACACAUGCAAGUCGAGCGGUAAGGCCCUUUCGGGGGUACACGAGCGGCGAACGGGUGAGUAACACGUGGGUGACCUGCCCUCAGCUCUGGGAUAAGCCUGGGAAGCCGGGUCUAAUACCGGAUAUGACUCCAUGACGCAUGUUGUGGGGUGGAAAGCCUUGUGCGGCUGAGGAUGGGCCCGCGGCCUAUCAGCUUGUUGGUGGGGUGANGGCCUACCAAGGCGACGACGGGUAGCCGGCCUGAGAGGGCGACCGGCCACACUGGGACUGAGACACGGCCCAGACUCCUACGGGAGGCAGCAGUGGGGAAUCUUGCGCAAUGGGCGAAAGCCUGACGCAGCGACGCCGCGUGAGGGAUGACGGCCUCGG